CUGGCGGUGAAUGAUGACAGCUACCCGGGCUGACAGUGCACCGGGAACGGGUACGAUUUACCUGCUUGGGACGCGAUCAUCAGAGCGGUGUUGCCUUCAUUGUCCUGUUGAUUGAUGUCCAUGAAGGGACAGUUGUGAAGCCCGUACACAAUGUCCACGAAACCUUUGCAGCAAGCCACCAUCAAGCCGUUCUGUUGGUGACGGUCAACAGUAAGGAUCAUGUGAGAACUCUCCGCAGAGAGUUGGGUUCGUUUCGGGCGCAUGCUUGAUACAGUGUUGACGCCGGACGCCCGUUUGCUUUCUCCGGCAGGUACUCUGGAAACACAGAGUCAUCGGA